AUUGAACGCUGGCGGCAUGCCUUACACAUGCAAGUCGAACGGUAACAGGUCUUCGGAUGCUGACGAGUGGCGAACGGGUGAGUAAUACAUCGGAACGUGCCCGAUCGUGGGGGAUAACGAAGCGAAAGCUUUGCUAAUACCGCAUACGAUCUACGGAUGAAAGCAGGGGACCGCAAGGCCUUGCGCGAACGGAGCGGCCGAUGGCAGAUUAGGUAGUUGGUGGGAUAAAAGCUUACCAAGCCGACGAUCUGUAGCUGGUCUGAGAGGACGACCAGCCACACUGGGACUGAGACACGGCCCAGACUCCUACGGGAGGCAGCAGUGGGGAAUUUUGGACAAUGGGCGAAAGCCUGAUCCAGCCAUGCCGCGUGCAGGAUGAAGGCCUUCGGGUUGUAAACUGCUUUUGUACGGAACGAAAAGACUCUGGUUAAUACCUGGGGUCCAUGACGGUACCGUAAGAAUAAGCACCGGCCAACUACGUGCCAGCAGCCGCGGUAAUACGUAGGGUGCAAGCGUUAAUCGGAAUUACUGGGCGUAAAGCGUGCGCAGGCGGUUAUAUAAGACAGAUGUGAAAUCCCCGGGCUCAACCUGGGAACUGCAUUUGUGACUGUAUAGCUAGAGUACGGCAGAGGGGGAUGGAAUUCCGCGUGUAGCAGUGAAAUGCGUAGAUAUGCGGAGGAACACCGAUGGCGAAGGCAAUCCCCUGGGCCUGUACUGACGCUCAUGCACGAAAGCGUGGGGAGCAAACAGG
rnacentral:rRNA from 1 species